rnacentral:rRNA from 1 species
UGAGGAAUAUUGCGCAAUGGGGGAAACCCUGACGCAGCGACGCCGCGGGAGUGACGAAGGUUUUCGGAUCGUAAAGCUCUGUCAGAAGGGAAGAAAUGCUAUAUGGUUAAUACCCAUACAGUUUGACGGUACCUUCAGAGGAAGCACCGGCUAACUCCGUGCCAGCAGCCGCGGUAAUACGGAGGGUGCAAGCGUUGUUCGGAAUUACUGGGCGUAAAGGGCGCGUAGGCGGCUUGAUAAGUCAGGUGUGAAAGUCCACGGCUCAACCGUGGAAGUGCAUUUGAAACUGUCAGACUUGAGUAUCGGAGGGGAGUGUGGAAUUCCCGGUGUAGAGGUGAAAUUCGUAGAGAUCGGGAGGAACACCGGUGGCGAAGGCGACACUCUGGACGAAUACUGACGCUGAGGCGCGAAAGCGUGGGGAGCAAACAGGAUUAGAUACCCUGGUAGUCCACGCCGUAAACGAUGUGAACUAGGGAUAGGGGGUGUUGAUCCCUCCUGUCCCGCAGCUAACGCAUUAAGUUCACCGCCUGGGGAAGUACGGUCGCAAGGAUUAA